CCGAGUUUACAACUCCCAAACCCUGUGAACAUACCACUUGUUGCCUCGGCGGAUCAGCCGCUCCCGGUAAAACGGGACGGCCCGCCAGAGGACCCCUAAACUCUGUUUCUAUAUGUAACUUCUGAGUAAAACCAUAAAUAAUCA
rnacentral:misc_RNA from 1 species